CUCCCUCCCCCUUUGCCCUCUCCCCCAACUCACACGUGGUCUAAAAUAAGAAAUAAAAACCAAAAAAACCCAAAACAAAAAUAAUAUUGAUUAAUUCAUUGAAAAAUGAUGGCGGCAUCAAAACAGAUUUGUAAUUAAAUACCUUUCUUCACUCCACUAUUGCAAGGGAGGGGAAGGAGAGUGGGUUACAUUUAUUUAUUAAAAAAAAUUUUUUUUAGAUAUUAUUUAUUUCUUAUUUACUCAUUCAUUCAGAGUAAUCUCUACCCUCAACGUGGGGCUCGAACUCAUGACCCUGAGAUCAAGAGUCAGAUGUUCUUCAGAUGGAGUGAGCUAGGCACCCUGACAGUGGGGUACAUUCAGCACUGAAACUGAACUCUGAAACUUCUCCUUUGGAAGGAAACAAGGGUAUGUAUGGUGCAAAUACAAAUUAGAAGAAUGAAGUUGAUAAAGUACUAAUCAGACACCAAUGCUAUAAAGGAAUCAUACUUUAGUGCAAGAAUGAAUUUAUAUUACACUUGACCUUUCCAGUAUAUUUUCAACAUUCAUGCUUGACUUCUAUUCCAUACUUGUGUAUGUUUUUACAUGGUCUCUAUGGCCAAAUCCAGUCUUACACAGAUCUCCUUAAGCAUAGAGAUUUAGCCAGAGUGUGGUGGCACUCAAUACCCCCGGCUGCUGCUCCUGAGGAAGAGGGUCCUGCCCUGACCAAGCAGGGCCAGAGAUGUCUGCCAGCCCAGUAGCCUUCCAGCAUCUCAUCUGUCCCUCCACAGGUUCAAAAGUUUGGGAUUCCCAAAUCUUCCUAAUCUGCAACAUCUCGAAAAUGAAAAUAUUUUCCACAGUGAAGAUCGAUAGCCCUUUACCUAAGUGGCCUUCCUAAUCAGAGCCAGAUCUAACCUGUGUGAACAAUGCCAAUGGAGACUGGUAGUUGGUGAAACACACUCUAGUUUUGAUACAGUAUGGAGAAAAGAGGCAUCGUUUAGCAUCAACAGCACAGACAUUUAGAGGUAGUGCUCCUUACUGCUUUCCUGUGCUCUCCGGCCGUGAGCAGGACCACACCGUCCUCUUGGAUCUCCAUCAGUCUGAUUAGUUCUGAUCUUUGCUCCUCCAUUAUGGACUUAGCAACUGGAGAAUUCCAGUUUCUAUUGGCUUUUGGGAAUACAGUAUAUAAAGAUUUUUUGUUCCCCACAGAACUGAAAAUGGCCUUCAUUCCCUCCCUCAACCCCUUUGAAAUGAUACUAAAUGAAUUACAAAAGGAAUCUCAACAUAAUGAAAAAAUGAAAGGGGAUAUAAGGUGGGGAAAUACUGCAGAUUUGUGGCAGGCUGCAAGGGAACAGAAUAGGAAGCAUCAAAGCAGCAAGACACAGGAAGCUCUGGCCUGGAGAAAAAUGGAGCGGCCUCAGCACAAGAAGGAACUGAUUUUAGCAGAAGCCUAGAGAGGCUCAGGACUCUUAGGAAGCUUUGGUUUCCCAGGGUAAUGGGCAACGACUCUGCUGCUCCCACUAAACUGAUCCUACCCAUUCACAAAGCCCUUCCGAGGACCCCGUGCUCCCAAACAGCUUUAAAAAAAAUCUUUUUAAGUAACCUCUAUACCCAAUGUGAGGCCUGAACUCAUGACCUCCGAGAUCACUCUUGUGAGUUCAAGCCCUGCA